GCCCAGCGCCGGCCGCCGCCGGGGGAACUCUUAUAGCAUAAACCCUUGCGAAACCGGAACGUCUGAGUAUACAAACAAAUAGUUAAAACUUUCAACAACGGAUCUCUUGGUUCUGGCGUCGAUGAAGAACGCAGCGAAAUGCGAUAAGUAAUGUGAAUUGCAGAAUUCAGUGAAUCAUCGAAUCUUUGAACGCACAUUGCGCCCCUUGGUAUUCCGAGGGGCAUGCCUGUUCGAGCGUCAUUGCAACCCUCAAGCUCUGCUUGGUAUUGGGCCCCCGCCCCUCGCGGGGCGGGCCCGGAACCCAUCGGCGGCUGUGCCCAGCUCCGAGCGUAGUCAACAUACCCCGCUCUGGAGUCAUGGGCGCCGCCCGCCGGACGAACACCCCCGAAUCUUUCUCAAGGUUUGACCUCGGAUCAGGUAGGGAUACCCGCUGAACUUAAGCAUAUCAAUAAGCGGAGGAAAAGAAACCAACAGGGAUUGCCUCAGUAACGGCGAGUGAAGCGGCAACAGCUCAAAUUUGAAAUCUGGCCCCCUCGGGGCCCGAGUUGUAAUUUGUAGAGGGUGCUUCGGCUUACGGCGCGGUCUAAGUUCCUUGGAACAGGACGUCACAGAGGGUGAGAAUCCCGUACGUGGCCGCGCCCUCCGCCAUGUGAAGCCCCUUCGACGAGUCGAGUUGUUUGGGAAUGCAGCUCUAAAUGGGAGGUAAAUUUCUUCUAAAGCUAAAUAUCAGCCAGAGACCGAUAGCGCACAAGUAGAGUGAUCGAAAGAUGAAAAGCACUUUGGAAAGAGAGUUAAAAAGUACGUGAAAUUGUUGAAAGGGAAGCGCUUGCGACCAGACUUGACCGCGGAUGCUCAGCCGGCCCUCCGGCCGGUGUACUCUUCCGCGGUCAGGCCAGCAUCGGUUUGGGCGGCCGGAUAAAGGCCCCGGGAAUGUGGCUCCCCUCGGGGAGUGUUAUAGCCCAGGGUG
rnacentral:rRNA from 1 species